GGAUAACCGUGGUAAUUCUAUGGCUAAUACAUGCGCAAAUACUAUAUUAUCUCACUUUACGGUGGAUGAUAUAGUAGUGUUUAUUAGAUACAGAACCAAUACACCCGUAACAAGGUGUAGAAAAAGGUGAUUCAUAGUAACCGAACGGAUCGCAUAUAUUAUAAUCAUUUCGGUGAUUAUUGGCGAUAGAUCAUUCAAGUUUCUGACCUAUCAGCUUUCGACGGUAGUGUAUUGGACUACCGUGGCAGUGACGGGUAACGGGGAAUUAGGGUUCGAUUCCGGAGAGGGAGCCUGAGAAACGGCUACCACAUCUAAGGAAGGCAGCAGGCGCGCAAAUUACCCAAUCCUGACUCAGGGAGGUAGUGACAAGAAAUAACAACACUGGAAAUUCAAUUUCUAGUGAUUGGAAUGAUGGGAAUCCGAACCCCUUUCAGAGUAACAAUUGGAGGGCAAGUCUGGUGCCAGCAGCCGCGGUAAUUCCAGCUCCAAUAGCGUAUAUUAAAGUUGUUGCAGUUAAAAAGCUCGUAGUUGGAUAUCUGCUGGAAGCAAUCAGUCCGCCCUUUUAGUGAGGGUGUGUACUUGAUGAAUUCUGGCAUGAUCAUCAUCCUAAUAAUAAUAUUAUAUUAGGUUGAUUCCUAAUAUAAUGAUUACUAUUGGGAUGUGACAGUUACUUUGAGAAAAUUAGAGUGUUUGAAGCAGGCUUAUUGUUGCCUUGAAUACUGCAGCAUGGAAUAACAAUAUAGGAUUUCGGUUCUAUUUUGUUGGUUUCUAGGACUGAAAUAAUGAUUAAUAGGGACAGUUGGGGGCAUUCGUAUUUAACUGUCAGAGGUGAAAUUCUUAGAUUUGUUAAAGACGAACUACUGCGAAAGCAUUUGCC
rnacentral:rRNA from 1 species